rnacentral:rRNA from 1 species
AGCGAACGUUAGCGGCGCGCCUAACACAUGCAAGUCGCACGAGAAACGGAGCAAUCCGCGGUACAGUGGCGCACGGGUGAGUAACACGUGGAUGACCUUCCCUGGAGUGGUGGAUAACCUGCCGAAAGGCGGGCUAAUACAGCAUAGGACCACGACGCUUUGGCGAUGUGGUGAAAGCGGGCCUCUAUAUAUAAGCUCGCGCUCCGGGACGGGUCCGCGUCCCAUCAGCUAGUUGGUGAGGUAACGGCUCACCAAGGCAACGACGGGUAGCUGGUCUGAGAGGAUGGCCAGCCACACUGGAACUGAGACACGGUCCAGACUCCUACGGGAGGCAGCAGUGGGGAAUCUUGCGCAAUGGGCGAAAGCCUGACGCAGCGACGCCGCGUGGGCGAAGAAGGCCUUCGGGUUGUAAGACCCUGUGGGGGAGGAACGAACCGUACGGGGGCGGAAGUACCUCCGUGCCUGACGGUACUCC